CACGUAGGGUGCGAGCGUUGUCCGGAAUUAUUGGGCGUAAAGAGCUCGUAGGCGGUGUGUCGCGUCGGCCGUGAAAACCUGCAGCUUAACUGUGGGCUUGCGGUCGAUACGGGCAUCACUGGAGUUCGGCAGGGGAGACUGGAAUUCCUGGUGUAGCGGUGAAAUGCGCAGAUAUCAGGAGGGAACACCCGGUGGGCGAAGGCGGGGUCUCU
rnacentral:rRNA from 1 species